GACGAACGCUGGCGGCGUGCUUAACACAUGCAAGUCGAACGAAGAGCGACGGAAGCUUGCUUCUAUCAAUCUUAGUGGCGAACGGGUGAGUAACGCGUAAUCAACCUGCCCUUCAGAGGGGGACAACAGUUGGAAACGACUGCUAAUACCGCAUACGAUCUAAUCUCGGCAUCGAGGAUGGAUGAAAGGUGGCCUCUACAUGUAAGCUAUCACUGAAGGAGGGGAUUGCGUCUGAUUAGCUAGUUGGAGGGGUAACGGCCCACCAAGGCGAUGAUCAGUAGCCGGUCUGAGAGGAUGAACGGCCACAUUGGGACUGAGACACGGCCCAGACUCCUACGGGAGGCAGCAGUGGGGAAUCUUCCGCAAUGGACGAAAGUCUGACGGAGCAACGCCGCGUGAGUGAUGACGGCCUUCGGGUUGUAAAGCUCUGUUAAUCGGGACGAAAGGCCUUCUUGCGAAUAGUGAGAAGGAUUGACGGUACCGGAAGAGAAAGCCACGGCUAACUACGUG
rnacentral:rRNA from 1 species